GGUGAGUGCUGGAUGGGCAGGUGAGGAGUGUACCUGUCUGCCUUCGAGGCAAAGAGACCUGGCUGAUGGCCUAAUGCUUGGAGGCAUGAGGAGAAAAUGGACAGCAGAGAGGGCGUUGGAGAAGGGUUACGAAGCAAGCGCAGACCCAUUGUCUCAUCCCAUAUAAGUUAAUAAGUCCCUUUCCAUCCUCUGAAAUGGCAGUGAAGCACUGAAAGAAACAGCUCAAGUGGAACAGCAUGAAGCCGAGGUUUAAGAAGUUACGAGAACAGCUGGCAGUCUGUGUUAUUUGACUGCCAUAAUACAGUCUGAAGUCUUUAUUGGAUUACGUAACACUUCUGGCAACAUUUGGGAGCACAAGACGUGGAAUAAUAUUAUAAGCUUUCUGAUUGGUGAGUAGAUCUUAAUCCCCGCCCACAUUCCACAGUGACUGCUCGCUCUGAGAGCUUCGUGUUUUUCCUGGGUAAUUACACCACUAGCACAUUCCAAUAUCAAUAUCACCAUACGCUCCAUAUCAAUAAAACAUACAAUUUCUUUCUUACC